rnacentral:rRNA from 1 species
ACUCCUACGGGAGGCAGCAGUGGGGAAUUUUGGACAAUGGGCGAAAGCCUGAUCCAGCAAUGCCGCGUGUGUGAAGAAGGCCUUCGGGUUGUAAAGCACUUUUGUCCGGAAAGAAAUCCUUGGCUCUAAUACAGUCGGGGGAUGACGUACCGAAGAUA